rnacentral:misc_RNA from 1 species
UCGCGGCUUAUCACCGGCAGUCCCCUUAGAGUGCCCAACUGAAUGCUAGCAACUAAGGGCGAGGGUUGCGCUCGUUGCGGGACUUAACCCAACAUCUCACGACACGAGCUGACGACAGCCAUGCACCACCUGUGAUCCUGCCCCGAAGGGAAACCGUGUUUCCACGGCGGUCAGGAACAUGUCAAACCCAGGUAAGGUUCUUCGCGUUGCGUCGAAUUAAACCACAUGCUCCGCUGCUUGUGCGGGUCCCCGUCAAUUCCUUUGAGUUUUAGCCUUGCGGCCGUACUCCCCAGGCGGGGCGCUUAAUGCGUUAGCUACGGCGCGGGAAACCGGAGAGGCCCCCCACACCUAGCGCCCAACGUUUACAGCGUGGACUAC